AGGACGAACGCUGGCGGCGUGCUUAACACAUGCAAGUCGAGCGGUAAGGCCUUUCGGGGUACACGAGCGGCGAACGGGUGAGUAACACGUGGGUGAUCUGCCCUGCACUCUGGGAUAAGCCUGGGAAACUGGGUCUAAUACCGGAUAUGACCUGCUCUCGCAGUGGGGGUGGGUGGAAAGAUUUAUCGGUGCAGGAUGGGCCCGCGGCCUAUCAGCUUGUUGGUGGGGUAAUGGCCUACCAAGGCGACGACGGGUAGCCGACCUGAGAGGGUGACCGGCCACACGUGGGACUGAGACACGGCCCAGACUCCUACGGGAGGCAGCAGUGGGAAUAUGCACAAUGGGCGAAAGCCUGAUGCAGCGACGCCGCGUGAGGAUGAAGGCCGUUCGGGUCGUAAACCUCUUUCAGCGAGGACGAAGCGACAAGUGACGGUACCUGACAGAAGAAGCACCGACUAAC
rnacentral:rRNA from 1 species